rnacentral:tRNA from 1 species
UGCCCGAUAGUGUAACGGUAGCACAUCAGAUUCUGAUUCUGCUUGUCUUGGUUCGAAUCCAGGUCGGGUAA